GGAUUAUGGUAUGAUCUUAAUCUUUGGUUUAGUUGGGUUGCUUGAAUGGAAAAAAGGCAAUUAUUUUUGCCUUUUAAUGUUAUGAUAUAGCAUAAAGUCGUUGGCUUUUCAGCCUUUUCAGUUUUGUGCGAUCUGAAAUGGGUGGUGGGAUGUGUCGGAGUUGCUUUAGGUGUAUGGCUAGUGCUUGAAGAUAUCAAGAAAAAUA
rnacentral:misc_RNA from 1 species